UACAGAGGGUGCGAGCGUUAAUCGGAAUUACUGGGCGUAAAGCGCGUGUAGGCGGCCCUGCAAGUCGGGUGUGAAAUCCCACGGCUCAACCGUGGAAGUGCACUCGAAACUGCAGGGCUAGAGUCCUGGAGAGGAAGGUGGAAUGCUUGGUGUAGAGGUGAAAUUCGUAGAUAUCAAGCGGAACACCGGUGGCGAAGGCGGCCUUCUGGACAGUGACUGGACGCUG
rnacentral:rRNA from 1 species